rnacentral:rRNA from 1 species
UUAAAUUGAGAGUUUGAUCCUGGCUCAGGACGAACGCUGGCGGCGUGCUUAACACAUGCAAGUCGAACGGGAUUUAGUAGACAGAA